AUUCUGUAGCAAGGUUAACCGUAUAGGGGAGCCGGAGGGAAACCGAGUCUUAACCGGGCGUUAAGUUGCAGGGUAUAGACCCGAAACCCGGUGAUCUAGCCAUGGGCAGGUUGAAGGUUGGGUAACACUAACUGGAGGACCGAACCGACUAAUGUUGAAAAAUUAGCGGAUGACCUGUGGCUGGGGGUGAAAGGCCAAUCAAACCGGGAGAUAGCUGGUUCUCCCCGAAAGCUAUUUAGGUAGCGCCUCGUGAAUUCAUCUCCGGGGGUAGAGCACUGUUUCGGCUAGGGGGCCAUCCCGGCUUACCAACCCGAUGCAAACUGCGAAUACCGGAGAAUGUUAUCACGGGAGACACACGGCGGGUGCUAACGUCCGUCGUGAAGAGGGAAACAACCCAGACCGCCAGCUAAGGUCCCAAAGUCAUGGUUAAGUGGGAAACGAUGUGGGAAGGCCCAGACAGCCAGGAUGUUGGCUUAGAAGCAGCCAUCAUUUAAAGAAAGCGUAAUAGCUCACUGGUCGAGUCGGCCUGCGCGGAAGAUGUAACGGGGCUAAACCAUGCACCGAAGCUGCGGCAGCGACGCUGAUGCGUUGUUGGGUAGGGGAGCGUUCUGUAAGCCUGCGAAGGUGGCCUGUGAGGGUUGCUGGAGGUAUCAGAAGUGCGAAUGCUGACAUAAGUAACGAUAAAGCGGGUGAAAAGCCCGCUCGCCGGAAGACCAAGGGUUCCUGUCCAACGUUAAUCGGGGCAGGGUGAGUCGACCCCUAAGGCGAGGCCGAAAGGCGUAGUCGAUGGGAAACGGGUUAAUAUUCCCGUACUUGGUGUUACUGCGAAGGGGGGACGGAGAAGGCUAUGUUGGCCGGGCGACGGUUGUCCCGGUUUAAGCGUGUAGGUGUGUGUUCCAGGUAAAUCCGGUUCACUUUAACACUGAGGCGUGAUGACGAGGCACUACGGUGCUGAAGCAACAAAUGCCCUGCUUCCAGGAAAAGCCUCUAAGCAUCAGGUAACAUCAAAUCGUACCCCAAACCGACACAGGUGGUCAGGUAGAGAAUACCAAGGCGCUUGAGAGAACUCGGGUGAAGGAACUAGGCAAAAUGGUGCCGUAACUUCGGGAGAAGGCACGCUGACA
rnacentral:rRNA from 1 species